GCGGCGUGCCUAAUACAUGCAAGUCGAGCGAAUGAUUAGAGAAGCUUGCUUCUCUCUGAUUAGCGGCGGACGGGUGAGUAACACUGGGUAACCUACCCUAUAGACUGGGAUAACUUCGGGAAACCGGAGCUAAUACCGGAUAAUACUUCGAAACACAUGUUUUGAAGUUGAAAGAUGGUUUCGGCUAUCACUAUAGGAUGGACCCGCGGCGCAUUAGCUAGUUGGUGGGGUAAUGGCUCACCAAGGCAACGAUGCGUAGCCGACCUGAGAGGGUGAUCGGCCACACUGGGACUGAGACACGGCCCAGACUCCUACGGGAGGCAGCAGUAGGGAAUCUUCCACAAUGGACGAAAGUCUGAUGGAGCAACGCCGCGUGAAGUGAAGAAGGAUUUCGGUUCGUAAAACUCUGUUGCAAGGGAAGAACAAGUAGCGUAGUAACUGGCGCUACCUUGACGGUACCUUGUUAGAAAGCCACGGCUAACUACGUGCCAGCAGCAGC
rnacentral:rRNA from 1 species